GAUGAACGCUAGCGGCAGGCCUAAUACAUGCAAGUCGAACGAGAUUGAGGAGCUUGCUCCUCAUGAAAGUGGCGCACGGGUGCGUAACGCGUAUGCAAUCUACCUUAAUCAGGGGGAUAGCCCGGAGAAAUCCGGAUUAAUACCGCAUAAUGUUAUUUUAUGGCAUCAUAGAAUAACCAAACAUUUAUGGGAUUAAGAUGAGCAUGCGUGACAUUAGUUAGUUGGUGAGGUAACGGCUCACCAAGACUACGAUGUCUAGGGGAUCUGAGAGGAUGACCCCCCACACUGGUACUGAGACACGGACCAGACUCCUACGGGAGGCAGCAGUAAGGAAUAUUGGUCAAUGGGCGGAAGCCUGAACCAGCCAUGCCGCGUGCAGGAAGACGGCCCUAUGGGUUGUAAACUGCUUUUAUUCGGGAAUAAACCUUUCUGCGUGUAGGGAGCUGAAUGUACCGAAGGAAUAAGGAUCGGCUAACUCCGUGCC
rnacentral:rRNA from 1 species